rnacentral:lncRNA from 1 species
AAAGCAAGAGGAGAGUGGGAGGGAUUAUGUGAGGGUGAGAUUCAUGGUCCAAGUGUAGCCUAGGUGUCAGCUUAUCCCUUAGAAGAGCAUACGUGCCUCUGUAUGGAGGGUUCUGGCCAGGAAUGUCACGGGAGGAAAUAUUUAUUUUGCUUACAUUCCAUGCCUCAGGCCAUCACUAAGGGUAUCUAGGGUCCACCUUUUUUAAAAUUUUUAAAUUAUUUUUAUAUUCCAUAAUCCAUUCCCCGCCCCCCUACCUGACUGCUCCACAUCCCAUACCUCCUCCCCACCCCCUGUCUCCAUGUGGAUGCCCCCACCCCCAACCCACCUGACCUCUAAACUUCCUGGGCUGCUCUCUGGGAGGCCAUAUCCAAGUGCAGAGCUAGAACAGUCACAGGGACCUCCGAGGACUGAUGAAACAAAGGGCAGUCCUCAGCACAGCAGGGUGAAGAUAUCGCCAGGACCAAGGAAGCCCUCAGGAACGUGUGUCCUGUGACUAUGAAAUUGAUCCUGGCAGCUGGGUAGGAACUAAUGAACUUAAAAUUCUGGCUAGCUGGGCCCUCACCAAGUAUCCAGAGCUGCUGUUCACCCCAUCCCACGCAUGGGUCAUGAAAGCCCAGCCUUUCUUGUGACAGAGGCUGACAUCAGGCCCUGAGGCAAUGAGCAUCUCAGGAGGAUACAUAGGGGAGGUGGUGCUGGUGGUGUCCUAGGUCUGCUGUGCCUGUAGGAGGAAGGAGGA